CGCUCAGAAGCUGCCAGGAAUUGUAGCGUUAGCCUUUUAAGCUAAAGAUUGGUGCCCUCCGACCACCCUUGGCGA
rnacentral:tRNA from 1 species